GUCGAACGGCAGCACGGGCUUCGGCCUGGUGGCGAGUGGCGAACGGGUGAGUAAUGCAUCGGAACGUGCCCAUGUCGGGGGGGAUAACGUACCGAAAGGUACGCUAAUACCGCAUACGCCCUGAGGGGGAAAGCGGGGGAUUCUUCGGAACCUCGCGCGAUUGGAGCGGCCGAUGUCAGAUUAUCUAGGAGGGGAGGAAAGGGCUCCCCUAGGCCACUAUCCGUAGCGGGUCUGAGAGGAUGAUCCCCCACCCUGGGACUGAGACGCGGCCCACACUCCUACGGGAGGCAGCAGGGGGGAAUUUUGGACUAUGGGGGAAACCCUGAUCCAC
rnacentral:rRNA from 1 species